UGGUCUGUGUUUGUUUUUUCCCCCAGGCCAAAUGGCUUCCCAUCUGGGACAUACUUUUCUGGACUUCCCUCAUUGCUUCUACUCUCCUUCCCUGCCCUAAUUUUCUUUCAUUCUGUCCUUAUUGGUACAGUCGGCAGCUAGACCAAAGUGGUUUGUCAGGUGGUGGAGGCCCCAAGCUAGCUUAGGCUAACUUCUGCAGAGCCAGGGGCCAGGAAGCAAAGCAGUGGACCUUCCUGUCAGGCGCCCACGUGACAUGCGAGAGCCGGAGUCCUUUCAGGGCCCGACUGAGGGUGAAGCAAGGAACCUGUGGAGAGGGGAAUUUCUAGGCUCAGGACUACAGGCCUAGGUUUCCAGUCAGGGCCAUCUCUGGGUAAUACUGUGAGGAAGUUAGAUCUAAGUGAGUUGGUAUAGAAGAACCAUUCAUUUUUUUUAAAGAUUUUUUUUUUUAAGUAAUCUCCACCCAACAUGGGGCUUGAACUCACAACCCUGAGAUCAAGAGUCACAUGCUCUACUGACUGAGCCAGCCAGGCAUUCAUCUUUUUUUCAGGAAGGCGUGACUGAGCACCUUCUCCAAGCCAGGCGCUGAGUGGGUGCCCAGGAUAUCACUGUGAAUGAGAAGGGCAAAGUCCUUCCCUACCUUUGUAGACUUGGUAGCCUCGUGAGAUCCCAAAAAGGUUUUUAUUUGUUGGCUUUAAAAACACACACGCACAUAUGAUUUUUAGUCAUGCGUCCAUCCUCUACCAAGUUUUGGUUAGGGUUGGAGUACCUCUCAGACCUUUGAAACUUGUGUUUCUGGUGCCAAAGUAGUCCUGAAUCUUGGGCUUAACCAGUGGAAUGUUGGUAAAUGUUUAACAAUUAGCUCUCUGGAGGGAAGUGUAUGCAUGUAUAUAUGUACAUAAGUUAAUUCUAAAUUUUACUGAUAUAAAGUAUGUGUGCCUCACAAAUUACGUAUAAAAUGUACAAAAUAUCAUUAAUAAGGUAAUUAAUUUUGUAAAUGUAUUCAACUAGUUUAUUAUCAGCACAUUAUUAGUAUUAAUAACAUUGUUGGUAUUAAUUAGUAAUUUUAAUGUUAAUUGUUAAUCAGUAGCUAACUGAUUCUCACAGAUGGCUUUUGUGGGUUUUUGCCAGACUCUCGUAUCCGUAACCAACUUGUGGUUGCCAUUGCUAAACAAAUGGAGUUCUGACAUGAAGGUGAGUUGAUCUUUUCAUUUACGUGUGAAACAACAAAGACAUAUGUCGGAACUUCAUUCAUUCCUCAAUGAUGUGAGUGACUUCUUCCUUGAAUAGGAUAAUGGUUUUCAGACACUGGAAGAUUAUUUCUUCAUUAUCUGGUAUUAUUUCACAAAGUGACAGCUACCGACAUGGCUCACAGUUGAGUUUAAUCUGCAUUAUUAACAUUUUCCCUCUCACUUUCUUAGGUCUAGAAAAUCAACAGAAAAAGUAAAGCCUGAUUAAGAGUAUUUACUGAUCUCUGAGUCACAAGCGCUCAGCCCGUGGCCCAUGGCAAGUCACCAGCUUUGCUGCGAGGUUGUUGCCCACUAUCCCACGGUAUUUCCGCCACACGGACGUGGCAGAUAAUCACCUAAGUGCACAGAUCACUGUGAAAUAGAGUAAAAUGAUGAAGUGAUGAGUUCGGGGGUAUUUCUUACCUAAUUAAAAAAAAUUUUUUUUAAAGAUUUUAUUUAUUAAUUUGACAGAGACACAGCAAGAGAGGGAACACAAGCAGGGGGAGUGGGAGAGGGAGAAGCAGGCUCCCCGCCGAACAGGGAGCCCGAUGAUGCGGGGCUUGAUCCCAGGACCCCGGGAUCAUGACCUGAGCCGAAGGCAGACGCUUAACGACUGAGCCACCCAGGUGCCCCUCUUACCUAAUUUUUAAUAGAAUUUAUUUCAGUAUAACUUUCACAGCCAGCUCACAUUUGUGACAACAUAGCAUUAGAAAGAGCCGGCUCCAGCACACCCCUGGGCCUGACUCUAUUUCCAGGCCCUGAAUGACCCUCAUCCCCACUCCCACGCCCCUUUGUCAUUGAUUCGGGACCCUCCAGCCCACUGCCAUGGAUGGGGAGCUCCUAGAUUCCGGAGCUAACCCUAGUGGCCACUUUGAAUGAGGGCCCUGGGGACAGGGUGACACCAGUGGCUUCUCCAUGACUGGGUGGCCUCUUUCUGCCUGAGGAGCAAAAGCAGAGGUGGAAGAGAGUCAGGGACACUCGCAGUGACUCUGGAAGGCAGGCACAUCUGGCAAGCACUCACGGCUAAGAGAGAAAGGAAGGAUGAAGGGGUGAGGGCAGGAGAGAGCUCGGGCUCAGCCCUCUGUCCACUUGGCUCUACUCCUGGGCUAUAAUUUCUCGUUGAAGGCUUUCCAGAAAGGCUGGUGACCUUGGAGACUAUAGGUUAGUGGAGGGGGGAGCCGAGACAAACCCUUCCCUCCUGCCUCUGGGAUGUUAGCCAGAGCCCUGGAAGCUACUCCCGAGGGCUGUCCAAUGUCUGCUCUUGGAGUCUACCUUUGGGGCCCGUUUCCUUUUCAGCAGGAGAGGGGUGGCAGUGACUUUGGGUCUUCGGUUGGGCCUCUUGCUGACUGGCUGAGUCUGUUUUGGAAUCUGGUGGGAAGUCUGCCCAGCAUUCUGGGCCAUCCUCUGCAUGCAGGCCACAGACGAACCCUGUUUCCUUUCAGGCCACAUGGCCUGGUCUCUGCUCUCCAGGUCACCGCCAGGCAACUUAGCAGGUCCAACUGCUUGGAUACGGUUGGGCCAUGCUGCGCUCUGGAUGCCACCGCAUGAAUGAGCGUUCUGUGUUUGCACCUAGGCUGGUGGCUCUCCGAGGGCCCUGUCCCCAGCACCCCCCCCGCCCCCACUCAGUACAAAGAGCAGUCCUCAGUGACGGAAUGCAGCAAUGAGAAAGCCUGGCGGACAGUCAAGAUUUCUUCCUGGUGAAGCCGAAUCACAGUGUGGAGCCCCGUGUGGAAGCGCUCAUUUUGGAACCUUGUCCAAGGAGUCUCCUCUAUUAUUGCUAACACUUGGCAGGGGGGCAGGGCAAACUCCCCACUCCCCACCCCCACGCCGACACGGGUUUUUACCAAUUAGCUGUUCGGUAACCAGGAAGUCCUGAUGCCAGUGGUUUUCCUACCACCCUAAGAGAACAGUCACCUUUACCCCUCAGCCCUCCGUCUGCACCCCCCCCCCCCCCCCGCACGCCUCCGCUCCCGGGGCUGCUGGCCCAAGUGCUGACCGGGAGCGAUUGCUCUUGGCAUCAAGCCUGAGGACAGGCUGUGCGCCGAGAGGCCGGGGCGGCCCUCCCUCUACGACACGGGGUGGGAAGUGACCAGGGUGAGGACGCAGACAAUAAGGGCUCAGUACCCUCCGAAGCGGGAGGGAUCCCUGGGGACAGAUGUACCAGCGGUCCGCUCCCUGCCAAGCCCCCGCGUCCCACCCAACCCACACCCCAGCAUCCACACGCAUCCGCCGGCGACCACCUUCGGACAACACCAUUCACGGGGGUUCGAGCGAGAGGGCAGGCCUUACGAGGAGGUCCACAGAGAGGCCCGGCACUGCAGUGCCGGGAGUGAGGUGUCUCUGAGCCCGCUGUUACUGCCCGUCUUCUAAUAAGGCCGGAGGCCAAUCAGUCCUUCUAAUAAGGCCAGAUGCCUGUCUCCGGGGAGCACAGCGCCCCUUCUCCCAACAUGUCCUGGGCUGAAUGACCCUUGGAGUGUACCAGGUUGAAGUUCUGGUGUCUGUGUCCGUGUGUGUGUGUGUUAAAAUAUUAAAACUGUGUUUCCAGACCAGACUUUGCUCCCGUGUUCAAGAGCCCCAAUCCAAGUGUCACUUGGAUGUCCCACAGGCAACUGCAAUUUCACAUACCCUAUGCUUCUCGUCCUCUCCUUCCCCCUCAAGCCCACAGUUGGUCCUGUCCCACGAUCCCUUUCUCAAGAAAUCGCGCUGCCACUCACCUACGUGGCCAACCGGGAAACCUGGGCACUCCCUCACCCCACAUCCCCCUAUUUCCCUCGGCCACCAAGUCAAACCUGUUCUCUCCUGCACACUUGUGCCUCAUCCAGCUGGCCCUGCACACCCUGCCAAGACUUUAGGCCAGGUCACCAACUUCUCGAAGCGCAGUGACAGCCUCUUGAUGUGCUUUCUUGCCUCCAGUCGUCCCGUCAUCCCUGCUCCAGCCCCCACACCAUCCCCAGCCCUGUCUCUAAACCAGCCCUGAAUGAUGUGCCCAAGGCAGCGGGGAGAAGGCCCACCGGCCCAAACGCAUCUUUCUCUCCAACUUGUAGGUGCCCGAAGCGCCUCUUAUUUCGAUACGGGUUGUAUAGACCUCACUGUCCUCAGGAUUAGAGUCCAGAUUCCAAUCAUAAUUUGCAAGUCUCUUCAAGAUCUGGCCGCUGCUAAAUGAGAUGUCGGUCAGAGGGUACAAACUUGCAUUUAUGACUAAGUUCCAGAGAUCUAAGGUCCUUUUAUAUGGAUCAAGUGCAGGAGUCCAGCCUGUCCCCUAGUCACAUCAGAGACAAAGAGAGGGAGAAAGAGAAUGAGGACGUUGUCUGGAUGCUCGGAUGCUUCUGGAAAAGUCAGCUCUGGCAGUGGCUGAGGCGUACCUCCAGGAUUCAGAAACCCCUGCAGUUAAUGUAGCCCAAAUUCUGAGCUGAGUGUGCUUAGCGACACCCCAAAGAGGACCACGGCAUCAGAAUCUUUCUAACCCUAGCCUUGGGCAAACACCACCACCAAAGAGUGGCCAGAGCCAAGCUUUGGCUGGACAUGGAACAGAACUGGGAAGAAAAGAGUACAUCGGGGUAGAUAACAAGUUGUUUACAGUGAGCAAGGCCCCAGUGGCCGCCUCAUAAAUCUCAGUCCUGGGAAAGUAUGGUCAGAGCUGCGAGCCCCGACGCGCACGUGCUGCUCUUCCCGUGGAAAUAUCAACCAGUCCGCGCACGCACCCGGGGCUGGGACGAGGGCAACACACUUUGGAGCCAAAACCUUCAACCAACCACCAAACUUUCUUUAAAGGGAGACGUGUUCGGCUCUCUGCUGGGCGCAGGGACUACAAAUAGGAGUAAAAAUGCAACCAUCUGUGUUGAUAUAAUCUACGCUCGCACAUGCCAUCGAUCAUCCGGGGAGGGCAACAGCAGUGGGAGAGAGACUAAGGGGUCACCGCAAACCCCUUCUGCCUUGUGAAUUUGCUAUCAGAAGCACACGUUACCUAUGCAGACAAUAAAUGAGGGGCACCCAGCCGGCUCGGUGGAAGAGCGUGCGACUCUUAACCUCGGGGUUGCGGGUUCAAGCCCCAUGUUGGGUGUAGAGAUUACUUAACUAAAUAAAACUUAAAAAAAAAUUUAGGGGUGCCUGGGUGGCUCAGUCGUUAAGCGUCUGCCUUCGGCUCAGGUCAUGAUCCCAGGGUCCUGGGAUCGAGCCCCGCAUCGGGCUCCCUGCUCCUCGGGAAGCCUGCUUCUCCCUCUCCCGCUCCCUCUCUCGCUGUGUCUCUCUCUGUCAAAUAAAUAAAAUCUUAAAAAACAGAUUUAAAGCGCCAAGGUUGUUGACAACAACGAAGGAUCCAGGAUACACCGACGGAAUUGACCCAUCGGUCUUCCUGGCUUGGGACACACUUCGGGCUUUCGCCGUGGCGGUUACGCCCAAGAGGUCUUCUUACCACGUCCUGGCUACAAAAAGGCGGGUGUUUUUCCAAGCACAUCACAUGAGGAGACUGAUAACCCGGCAAGAAUGCGGAGGCAGGUGAGCCCUGCCCAAGGCAGAAGGGAGUUUUUCCUUCCACGGGCUUUGACCACGUCAUCCGCCUUUCACGGACAAAGGUGACUCCAGGGGUGACAGCCUGUCACCUUGCAGACACGCCCCUGUCCCCGCCUGGCCCUGGCCCUGGCCCAGAGAAGUGUUUCCCGAUCAGCUCUGGCCAGCUGGGCAGGGGUCAAUGCCUCCGGCUGGAUCCAGCCGAAACCUGCUAAAGAGCUAGCCCCAGUCUGAGAACAAGGGUCGGCAAAGUAGGUUCUGGUGGUUUUGGCGAGGGCAAAUGGACAAGUCAGUUUUCCGGUGUGGCGUCGUUUUUCUGGAUCGUGGGCUCUGACUUUUCCCUCUGCGCCCUCCGCCCCCAGACUACCUUCAGGCUUCCUCUCUGCGAAGCGCAUCCCAUCUGCUGGGAAAUAGUAACCAUGUGACAAUAAGCAUGAUCACGACCCUCUCGGGAAUGCUCCCGUGGGUCAGGCACGGAGCUCAGCGCUAUACACGCGUUCUCUCCCAAGCAGUCCUCAUGGACAUGCCACGAGGAAGGGCUUCUGGCUGUCUUUGUUUUAUAGCUGAAGAAACUCAGCCUCUCAGAAAGAGCUAGUAAGUGGUGGGGACCCACUGG